rnacentral:rRNA from 1 species
AACGAACGCUGGCGGCAGGCCUAACACAUGCAAGUCGAACGGGUGCCUUCGGGCACUAGUGGCGGACGGGUGAGUAACGCGUGGGAACGUACCCUUUGGUUCGGAAUAGCCCUGGGAAACUGGGAGUAAUACCGGAUACGGCCGAGAGACGAAAGAUUUAUCGCCGAAGGAUCGGCCCGCGUUGGAUUAGGUAGUUGGUG